rnacentral:pre_miRNA from 1 species
GGGGGAAUUGCUGGGCAAAUCUCCCUUGGCAGUGUGCUAAAUAAAACAGCCAAUCCAUACACUUUGAAGAUCCAAUAUUCUAGCAAUUAAAAUAGCAAGCAAAUUCUUGUAUAUAAUAACCAACAAAUUCUUGUUUAUAAAACUACCAGUGGAGUAAUUGCCCAGUAAUGCAUCC